GAUGAACGCUGGCGGCGUGCCUAAUACAUGCAAGUCGAGCGAACAGACGAGGAGCUUGCUCCUCUGACGUUAGCGGCGGACGGGUGAGUAACACGUGGAUAACCUACCUAUAAUACUGGUAUAACUUCGGGAAACCGGAGCUAAUACCGGAUAAUAUAUUGAACCGCAUGGUUCAAUAGUGAAAUACGGUUUUGCUGUCACUUAUAGAUGGAUCCGCGCCGCAUUAGCUAGUUGGUAAGGUAACGGCUUACCAAGGCAACGAUGCGUAGCCGACCUGAGAGGGUGAUGGCCCACACUGGAGCUGAGCCACGGUACAGAGUCCUAGGGGAGGCAGAGGCAGGGACGGGUCGGCGAUGGGCGAAAGCCUGCCGGAUGAACGCCACGCGAGUGAUGCGGGUCUUCGGAUCGUAAAACUCUGUUAUGAGGGAAGAACAAAUGUGUAAGUAACUAUGCACGACUUGACGGUACCUAAUCAGAAAGCCACGGCUAACUACGUG
rnacentral:rRNA from 1 species